rnacentral:rRNA from 1 species
UACGGGAGUGGCAAGCGUUAUCCGGAAUUAUUGGGCGUAAAGCGUCCGCAGGCGGUCUGUCAAGUCUGCUGUUAAAGCGUGGAGCUUAACUCCAUUAAGGCAGUGGAAACUGACAGACUAGAGUGUGGUAGGGGCAGAGGGAAUUCCCGGUGUAGCGGUGAAAUGCGUAGAUAUCGGGAAGAACACCAGUGGCGAAGGCGCUCUGCUGGGCCAUAACUGACGCUCAUGGACGAAAGCCAGGGGAGCGAAAGGGAUUAGAUACCCCUGUAGUCCUGGCCGUAAACGAUGAACACUAGGUGUCGGGGGAAUCGACCCCCUCGGUGUCGUAGCCAACGCGUUAAGUGUUCCGCCUGGGGAGUACGCACGCAAGUGUGAAACUCAAAGGAAUUGACGGGGGCCCGCACAAGCGGUGGAGUAUGUGGUUUAAUUCGAUGCAACGCGAAGAACCUUACCAGGGUUUGACAUCCUGCGAAUCUCUAGGAAACGAGAGAGUGCCUUCGGGAACGCAGUGACAGGUGGUGCAUGGCUGUCGUCAGCUCGUGUCGUGAGAUGUUGGGUUAAGUCCCGCAACGAGCGCAACCCACGUCGUUAGUUGCCAGCAUUUAGUUGGGCACUCUAGCGAGACCGCCGGUGAUAAACCGGAGGAAGGUGUGGAUGACGUCAAGUCAUCAUGCCCCUUACAUCCUGGGCUACACACGUACUACAAUGCUACGGACAAAGGGCAGCAAACUCGCGAGAGCUAGCAAAUCCCAUAAACCGUGGCUCAGUUCAGAUCGUAGGCUGCAACUCGCCUACGUGAAGGAGGAAUCGCUAGUAAUCGCAGGUCAGCAUACUGCGGUGAAUACGUUCCCGGGCCU